AACGAACGCUGGCGGCAUGCCUAACACAUGCAAGUCGAACGAGACCUUCGGGUCUAGUGGCGCACGGGUGCGUAACGCGUGGGAACCUGCCCUUAGGUUCGGAAUAACUCCCCGAAAGGGGUGCUAAUACCGGAUAAUGUCUUCGGACCAAAGAUUUAUCGCCUUUGGGUGGGCCCGCGUUGGAUUAGCUAGUUGGUAGGGUAAAAGCCUACCAAGGCGACGAUCCAUAGCUGGUAUGAGAGGAUGAUCAGCCACACUGGGACAGGGACACGGCCCAGACUCCUACGGGAGGCAGCAGUGGGGAAUAUUGGACAAUGGGCGAAAGCCUGAUCCAGCAAGGCCGCGUGAGUGAUGAAGGCCUUAGGGUUGUAAAGCUCUUUUACCCGGGAUGAUAAUGACAGUACCGGGAAAAUAGGCUCCGGCUAACUCCGU
rnacentral:rRNA from 1 species